AAUGAAUGUCCGCGACAUUCAAGCCAUUGCCGAAAAAGUUGCUUCGAAGCUAAUUAAGACCAUCAGCUCCACACAACUCUCUCCGUAUCUCUCAGUAUGGCUACCUUCAGAAGAUUGUUGCGACCGCCGACUUUCACCGCA